UGCCAGCAGCCGCGGUAAUACGAAGGGAGCAAGCGUUGUUCGGAUUUACUGGGCAUAAAGGGUACGUAGGUGGUGUAUUAAGUCAGUGGUGAAAUCUUAAGGCUCAACCUUAAAACUGCCAUUGAAACUGAUAUGCUAGAGUAUAGGAGAGGGCGAUAGAAUUUCCAGUGUAAAGGUGGAAUUUGUAGAUAUUGGAAAGAAUACCGAUUGCGAAGGCAGUCGCCUAGACUAUAACUGACACUGAGGUACGAAAGUGUGGGUAGCGAACAGGAUUAGAUA
rnacentral:rRNA from 1 species